rnacentral:lncRNA from 1 species
GCUGCUUUUUGCUAUGCGCACUGGUUUGCUGUGAUCUAGAUCCCACGUUCAGCGCGGCCUCUCUGCAGGGAAGACGAGAACGCUUUACCGAGACACGUGGAGGAGAUCUGGGUCAGCGGAGGGACAAACCACGCCGUGAGGAGCCCACCGGGGGCCCGCUCAGACUCCGGACUGCGCACUCUCAACCAAAAUACCACGCGGAUGGUGCAGGAAGCUUGACAGUUUUAUGUGAAAAGCCAUGGGUCAGGGAUGCCUUGUGAGGAAGCCAUCAGACAGGGCCAGGUCGCUAACCAGACAUCGGUUCUGAAGCUGCAGCAUUCAAGCCCACCGGAUAACGCUGUGCGGUGGCAAACCAACCUAUGAAAUAGGGUACAGUCUGUAUACAGGUCAGCACCUGUUACAUGGGAGGACUUCCGGGUGGAGAAGCCUUGUCAAAAGAGAAAAAAGAGGCACUCUCCAACAAAAGGGAUAAAAAAAUGACCAUCUGAUGGCAAGAAACAAAGUUGGAUUCUUAUAUCUUCUACAAAGUAAACUCAAAGUGGAUUGAGGAGUUAAAUAUUGAAAACAAAACCUCAACUCUCAUCUUAAAAACGUGGAUUAAUAUAUUCUUAGAUCUUGGAAAAGUAAGAAAAACAAGUAAGACCACAAAACCACUGGCAAUGA